rnacentral:rRNA from 1 species
GACGAACGCUGGCGGCGUGCUUAACACAUGCAAGUCGAACGGUAAGGCCCUUCGGGGUACACGAGUGGCGAACGGGUGAGUAACACGUGGGUGAUCUGCCCUGCACUUCGGGAUAAGCCUGGGAAACUGGGUCUAAUACCGGAUAGGACCACUGCCUGCAUGGGUGGUGGUGGAAAGCUUUUGCGGUGUGGGAUGGGCCCGCGGCCUAUCAGCUUGUUGGGGGGGUGAUGGCCUACCAAGGCGACGACGGGUAGCCGGGCUGAGAGGGUGACCGGCCACACUGGGACUGAGGUACGGCCAAGACUCCUGCGGGAGGCAGCAGUGGGGAAUAUUGCACAAUGGGCGCAAGCCUGAUGCAGCGACGCCGCGUGGGGGAUGACGGCCUUCGGGCUGUAAACCUCUUUCAGCACCGACGAAGCGCAAGGGACGGUAGGUGCAGAAGAAGGACCGGCCAACUACGUGCCAGCAGCCGCCGUAA